GACGAGGGGUCCUAGCGUUGUUCGGAAUCACUGGGCGUAAAGCGUAUGUAGGCGGCUUAACAAGUCAGAUGUGAAAUCCUGUGGCUUAACCACAGAACUGCAUUUGAAACUGUCGAGCUUGAAUAUGGGAGAGGAUGGCGGAAUUCUUGGUGUAGUGGUGAAAUACGUAGAUAUCAAGAGGAAGACCGGUGGCGAAGGCGGCCAUCUGGCCCAAUAUUGGCGCUGAGAUACGAAAGCAUGGGGAGCAAACAGG
rnacentral:rRNA from 1 species